rnacentral:lncRNA from 1 species
CCCGGGCAGGUCAAUUCCCUCGGGCCAGAUGGAUUUUGUUUUCUGAUUUCCAUUCCAUCGCAAGAUUUUGGGAAAUGGAGAAAAAAGAAAACCAGUAACAAGCACCCAGGACACUGUGCCACACCCAGCUCCUGGCGAGACGUGGCUUCCGGGGGUUCCCACACCCGACGACCCCAGCACGCCCCGCACGACAGCCCACGAGUAGCCACCUGGCCUCGUCGGCAUGGCCACUUAACCCAGCGUCCACCCCAGGAGGAAGGGCCGAGCUUCCAGACUCCCCCGUGUCGCAGGCACCAGGUCGGCGCCCCAGCUUUGUGCACCAGCCUCUCCUCCGGCCCCCACAGCAGACACCAGAGCCUGGGCGCCAAGUGUGUCCCCUCAGCUCCCCCCGGGCUCACUGUCACAGGCCAUGCGGCAGAUGAGGGCCAGAGUGAGCCGGGGCCCGGGGGCUGGGGGUCGGUGGCCUUAACCAAGCUGCCACAAGCCCAUUUCAGGUGCCAGGUCCCCAGCAGGGCAGUGUGCGUCCCAGACCCCGCGACGGGCACCACAGCAAGAGGAGGGCUUCCAUGCCUGCGAUGGAACCGAGGGAGGGGCUGGCGGGCCAGGGGCUGGGCUGGCAGGAACCACCCACUGCGAGGAGGACAGGCAGUCUGUGAGGGCUGCCUGGAGGAAGAGGACCCUGGGCCAUGCAGGAGAAGUGCAAACCGAAAGUGUCAGAUUAACUUAACAGAACAAGCUGCCGUGCACCACGGGUCCCUGCCCGUUGGCACCACGGCAUUCCCUGUCCACCGAGACAGCGGCCACCGCCGCCCCAGCCCUGCCCUGGACCCCUCUGGGGCCAGAGGGGAAGGCCCAGUUUUAGGACAGCAGCUGAGCCUUCCGGAGCACAGCUCCUCGCCUCUGAGACAGGGCUGGCGGCAGGCUGGGGCUCUGUGCGGUCACCCCAGGUCAACAGGCGUCAGAUCCCGGCCCCUCACUGCGCCGCCUCCUGCCCAGGAGACAAGGUGGAGCUGGGGGCCGGGCAGCACCACCGGCCACCCUGCUUCUGCCACCUCGGGUCCCCAGGGUGCAGAGACUGCGGGGGGGGCACCACGAUCACGCCGCCUCACCCCCAGGUCCCUUCACACCCUGCGUCACCCCAGGCCCCCCGAUUCCCACCCCAGCCCGGUGGGGCUGCAGCCCACUGUUCUGCUUCCUUUUCCUGAGACACAGUGCCAGUGCCCAGCCCAAGGGUCACUCCUGCCCCAGGAUGGGUUGGUGAGCCCGGGGGGCUGGCGCAGAUCAGGAGUGGGCAGAGGAGGAGACCCCAGCCCCCGGGCCCCCCGAGUGCAGCGCCUGGAGCCUCCAGCAGCUAUGCAGGUGUGCCUGGGCAGGGUCUGCCGGUCGCUGCCUCGCUCACGGCCAGCACGCUGGACAGCUGUCUCCUGCCUUUACCCAGCAGACCCCUCCCCUCACAGCCCUGGAGGUCAAGGUACCACCCCACAGAGCGGGGCUCAAGCAGGCGGCCCCCCUGCCCCGAGGCUCUGCUGCAGGGAACACAACCCUGCUGCGGUUCAGAAGAGCCAGUGCCCGCGACGGGACCAGCCAGGGCCAGCGCCACCGACCCCAUCUCCCGGGGAGCUUCCCACCUCCGCCAGCUCCAGGGACAUGGCUGGGCUGAGACCUCCAUGCUGCCGGCGGCCACAGGGGGACCAGCCCUGGGCAGGCGAGCUGGUGCACCCAGCGGCUUCCCCGUGUCCCUGGGGGUGA